CCUACGGGAGGCUGCAGUGGGGAAUAUUGGACAAUGGGGGCAACCCUGAUCCAGCCAUGCCGCGUGUGUGAAGAAGGCCCUCGGGUUGUAAAGCACUUUCAGUGAGGAAGAACGCCUGGUGGUUAAUACCCAUCAGGAAAGACAUCACUCACAGAAGAAGCACCGGCUAACUCCGUGCCAGCAGCCGCGGUAAUACGGAGGGUGCGAGCGUCAAUCGGAAUUACUGGGCGUAAAGCGCGCGUAGGUGGCUUGAUAAGCCGGUUGUGAAAGCCCCGGGCUCAACCUGGGAACGGCAUCCGGAACUGUCAAGCUAGAGUGCAGGAGAGGAAGGUAGAAUUCCCGGUGUAGCGGUGAAAUGCGUAGAGAUCGGGAGGAAUACCAGUGGCGAAGGCGGCCUUCUGGACUGACACUGACACUGAGGUGCGAAAGCGUGGGUAGCAAACAGGAUUAGAUACCCUUGUAGUC
rnacentral:rRNA from 1 species